AAAAGGUAGAAAGAGUUUGAAAGAUGAACUGGAAGAAGACUAAUCUAUGAAUGGUUAGCAAAAAUGAUAAAGAAGUAAAAUGACAUUUGAUCUCAAAACAUAUGCAUAUAGUGUCACUAAAAAAUUCAUUGGAUUUGCUAUCAUACUGCUGUGAUGCACUUUUGAGAGUCCAGAAUUUUCCUCCAACACCAAUUAGACCAAACCGGAAAAACUUAAUAAGUUGAUUUUGCUUAGUAAGACUUGAAAAAUUAACCUACUUAAUUCAGAAUGUCAAAUGGCACAUUGCAGAUAAUACAGUGCCCAGUUAU
rnacentral:misc_RNA from 1 species